CAGGUGAUUGCGCCCAUUGACUCCAUUUUCUCUCUCUAUUUGGAGUGUAGCAGUGGGUGAUACAUUUGCCUGCUGUCUGAGCUUAGUUCUCAAAGCUGGGAGCGGAGUUCACUUUGCCUCUGGAGCAGGACGUAACCCGGUCUCACACGAGGCACUGAAUGUCUACCACGGACUCGUCCGGUUUAGGUUUUUUAGCAGUGUAUCUGGAGGAUAGAAAUCUUCCAGUUUUUUAGCAGCUUUGAGGAGUAAGCAGUUUCCCCCCAGCGUGAUUAAAAACAUCAGAAGAAUGCUGCAUCAUAAAGCGAAGGAUGGAGGCUAUCUCCAGGACUGGAUUCUGAUCGGAUUCACGGCUUUUCCUAGAGCCAUAGGAAGGAGUUAAGAGAAAGCAAGCGCUUGCUGGUAUUCUGUUCCUUUGUCUCCUGCUCUGUGCUGCCAGAGCCAGUGCUGCUGCAAAGGAGAACAUGCUAUUGAUGGACA
rnacentral:lncRNA from 1 species